rnacentral:misc_RNA from 1 species
GCGUCCUUCAAAGCAGCUAUCCACUUCUCCACGAUGCGCAUAUCUCCACUAGCUUGUGCUUCUUUUUUAGCUCUAUCAAAUCCUUUCCCAAAAUCCCCAGUUUGGUCCACCACAUCCGAAGGAUCUACGUGGUAGAACACCGGUAAAACAUUCUGCCCAUGAGCCUUCUUGCAUUCCAUGAUAUGCACGAGCUCCUCCAAGCACCAUGGUGAAUCCGCGUAGUUCGGUGAGAAAACAAUUACAG